GGUGGCGUAGCCAAGCGGUAAGGCAGCAGUUUGCAAAACUGCUAUUCGCCGGUUCGAAUCCGGCCGCCACCU
rnacentral:tRNA from 1 species